UACAGAGGUCUCGAGCGUUGUUCGGAUUCAUUGGGCGUAAAGGGCGCGUAGGCGGCGGGGUAAGUCUGGUGUGAAAUCUAGGAGCUCAACUCCUAAACUGCACUGGAUACUGCUCUGCUAGAGGACUGGAGAGGAGACUGGAAUUCACGGUGUAGCAGUGAAAUGCGUAGAUAUCGUGAGGAAGACCAGUGGCGAAGGCGGGUCUCUGGACAGUUCCUGACGCUGAGGAGCGAAGGCCAGGGGAGCAAACGGG
rnacentral:rRNA from 1 species